AUAGUUUGAUCCUGGCUCAGAACGAACGCUGGCGGCGUGCUUAACACAUGCAAGUCAAACGGUUUUGUAGCAAUACAGAGCAGUGGCGCACGGGUGAGUAAUGCAUGGGAAUUUUCCAAGUGGAGAGGAAUACCUACGGGAAACUGUAGUUAAUACUUCGUAAGCAGGAGAUUGUAAAAGAUUUCCUGGAAACAUGGGGACCUAAAUAUUUCUAUAGAUUUUUAGAAUGUAAAUAUCUGAUAAUCUAUUGAAAUAUUUAGGCCUAUGGCCAUUUGAUAAGCUCAUGUCCCAUUAGCUUGUUGGUGAGGUAACGGCCCACCAAGGCGAUGAUGGGUAGCUGGUCUGAGAGGACGAUCAGCCACACUGGAACUGAGACACGGUCCAGACUCCUACGGGAGGCAGCAGUGGGGAAUAUUGCGCAAUGGGCGAAAGCCUGACGCAGCAACGCCGCGUGAGUGAAGAAGGCCUUAGGGUUGUAAAGCUCUUUCGGCUGGGAAGAAGGGAGUAAUGGUGAAUAAUCAUUGCUUUUGAUGGUACCAGAAGAAGAAGCACCGGCAAACUUCGUGCCAGCAGCCGCGGUAAUACGAAGGGUGCGAGCGUUGUUCGGAAUUAUUGGGCGUAAAGGGUUCGUAGGCGGGAUAGUAAGUCAAGUGUGAAAUCCCCGAGCUUAACUCGGGAAGUGCAUUUGAAACUAUUAUU
rnacentral:rRNA from 1 species